GACGUUGAUAUUCGACGUCAUAAACACGAUCAACUUUGGUGUUUAUGACGUCGAUAUUCGACGUCAGAAACCGGACCAACUUUGGUGUUUAUGACGUUGACGUUAUAAACACGAUAAGCUUUGGUGUUUAUGACAUCGAUAUUCGACGUCAUAAACACGAUCAACUUAGGUGUUUAUGACGUCGAUAUUCGACGUCAUAAACACGAUCAGUUUGGUGUUUAUGACGUCGACGUUAUAAGCAUGAUCAACUUUGGUGUUUAUGACGUUGAUAUUAGACGUCAUAAACACGAUCAACUUUGGUGUUUAUGACGUCGAUAUUCGACGUC
rnacentral:miRNA from 1 species